UGCUUCUCUGCGUAGUGUACUUUUGGAACCUUUCACUCCAUGUGUCACAGCACGCGACCUGAAAAGGUGUACUUCAAGUCGUUUGGGCCAGUUCUUCAAGAUGCAUCGCUCGGCGCUUCUAUCGGAACGGCAUGGCAUGAUCUUCACCACCAGCCGUCACUUCACUGCCCUCAAGUUAUAAAACGAUGUGCUGUGGACAUCUUUCUUAGUGGCGGGUGCGGACGUAACAGUAACAUGUCUAACCCCUUGAUCUACGCCUGUUUGCAGGUAUAUCGGCAUGAGCAUGCGGACCAGUUGAUCAGCAGAGGCCCGCCAGGGGUGCCAAACCAUCCAUCCAUCCAUCCAGCACGAUGGUUUUCAGGGGAAAAUAAAAGAAGUUGAUCUCCUCCUGGACGGUCGUGUUAUGCAGGCUCCAUUGAAGUUGGGUCCGUUCUUACGAAGGUAGUUAUUUCCUUCCUACCGACACCACAUUGGCGACGAGGGCUCUAAGAAGAAAAGGAACUGCACCACGUUGAAGAUUCAUUAUGAGCUUCGGCGGUAUUACGCCUCCGCCCACGUUCUUAUCCAUUCCCGGCAAGCCUAACGUUCCAUGGACGCAAUGGAGAGAACUUUUCUCCAAUUUCGUGGGAGCCUCAGGAGCUGGGGAGUUCAUAUCAAAAAGGAAGAAGCAAAUCCUUCUACAUUGCUUAGGGAUAGAAGGCCUUCGCAUUUAUAAUAGGCUUCCAGAAGUAGUACACGAAGCUACGCAAACUGCAUCACGUGAAGCCGGCGCAACACCGUCUACAAGUACCGUGUCAGGUACAGUGACGCCUGUCCCUGACGAGUACGAAACGGCCCUAUACGUACUUUAGAUGCUUACUUCGCUACCACCGUCAACGUGGUGACGGAACGCCACAACUUCAGGAAAAGAACUUAGCUGCCGGGCAAGAGCAUUGACGAUUUUGUUUUGGCCUUACGAGAGUUAUCCGCUUCAUGCAAUUUUGGUGCCCAAACUGAAUACAACUUGCGAGACAAAUUUGUACAAGGAGUACCUUCGCAGCAAAUACGUGGGAGGCUUCUCCUUGACGGAUGGGCUCUAACGUUUUCUCGUGCCGUGGACAUCGCCAAGUAUUGUCAAAGGGUAUCGGGCGAAACCCAGUCCUUCGUACAUGGUGAUGUCGUUCAAAGCAUCGGCAACGCUCCGGCGUCGAAGACCCGAGGGCGUCAAAGUAAAGGACAAACGCGCCAGCUGCAUCAUUCCCAGAACUCUCAGCGCAAGGACGGAGCCCAAAGAUAACGCUGCUAUCGGUGUGGGUCAACGCGGAAUCUCGCAAAUGCUUCGAAUUGCCCAGCGUUUCACAAGCGUUGCAACAGCUGUGGCAAGGUUGGUCACUACGCCUCAGUUUGUCGAGCGUCGAAGACAUCGACGAAAGUACAGGAGCUUUCUACAGAGGAGGAUGAAGUUCUAACCCCCGGUUGCACCAACGACGCUUAACGCAGAACCGAGUUCGCAGAGCUAGUUGAGCUCGGUUCCAGUUUCCGAGCGUUGCACCAAACGAGCUCAACACUAGCGCCGCCCUCAAACUGCUAUUAAACCUCCACUCAGCGGAACCGCCCUCGUCGGCGGCUCAGGGCGAGGAGCCGCGCUGAUGCCGUCAGCUGUUUGCUCGAUUAUUUGUUGAAAUAGUCGUGCGGAGGCGACAACAAAUGAAUUUCUGUCAUUACUACGAGGAAGAAUAGUGUCAACGGUUCUUCUGCUGAUACAGUUGCAUCUGACAAGAAGGAUGGGCGCAUUUUCAAGUCCUCGGAAUGGUUUCGUGUAAGCGGACAUGUUGACUGUUGUGAGGUGCUGUGUGUGUGUGUGUGCGUGUGCGCUCAACUUUUAUGAGCACAGAUUGUGUAAAAUAAUGCCGCAGAUGUGGUAGCUAAACAUAUGUGAGCAGCCGCGUUGGCUGCCUGUGUUCGUAUGUGAAUGUGGUGGUUUACGAAGUGCUGUUCACGGCGCAGCUCAUCGAUACAAGUGAAAUACGUCAGUGCACGGUUCAUAAAUGCUGUGAUUUGGGUCCGGAUGAGAGAAGUGGCAACGGAACGAUCUCUGCGUUGGCAGUGUUUGCCCAAACGUACGGUAGCCCUUGCUAAAUCAACUUUUUCCGCGUAAUGAGUGUUUAAUUACUCUGACACUGGGUUUUUGCUUUCGAAAGUUGUUCACUUCUGUAACCCGGGAUUCUUCGCAGACGAUGUUACGCAGACAGACGAAUGCAGACCAACAGCGAUGUAUUGUACAGUCCUCAUGUAAUAAAUAGCUGUAGUCU